GAUGAACGCUAGCGGCAGGCCUAAUACAUGCAAGUCGAACGGUGUCUUCGGACAUAGUGGCGCACGGGUGCGUAACACGUAUGCAACCUACCUUACAUUGGGGGAUAGCCUUUCGAAAGGGAGAUUAAUACCGCAUAAGACAGUAGCUGGGCAUCCAGCAGCUGUUAAAGAUUUAUCGAUGUAAGCUGGGCAUGCGUCCAAUUAGCUAGUUGGUGAGGUAACGGCUCACCAAGGCAAUGAUUGGUAGGGGAACUGAGAGGUCAAUCCCCCACACUGGCACUGAGAUACGGGCCAGACUCCUACGGGAGGCAGCAGUAGGGAAUAUUGGGCAAUGGACGCAUGUCUGACCCAGCCAUGCCGCGUGCAGGAUGAAGGCGUUAUGCGUUGUAAACUGCUUUUAUACAGGAAGAAACGACUCUUGCGAGAGGCAUUGACGGUACUGUAUGAAUAAGCACCGGCUAACUCCGUGCCAGCAGCCGCCGUAGAAC
rnacentral:rRNA from 1 species